rnacentral:lncRNA from 1 species
UGGUUUUUAUUCUUUUUCUUCUGAAACUGGUGCAGCACGGAAUCCCCCAUAUCACCAUCCCUUUUUAUACCACGAAAAGUGUUUUAAACUUUCUCAGCCAACAAGACUAAAGUUGAUGUGAACAAAGACAUCAGACAGAAAAGGCCGCAAACAAUAUACACUACCAUACCAUAUUCGUCCAAAUGCAUAAAAAUAUCAAAUCAUUUCGUACUAUCUAUUGGUAAUCUUAUACGGUUUGAGAAUGUUCGCUUCUCAUGUUUUUGGUUUUUUCCCCAGUUAUUCCAUUCAGGUACAGGAUUGUGUAAAAGAUCGAAAUGUUCGGCAACGUCACCCAACAUUACGAAAUAAUUACAAAAUUUAUACUGUACGCCAACUUCGCCAGCGUCGCAACAUUUAUAAAAUCCUUGGUUUUUUUCAUAGUUUUUGAAUGAAAAAAAUGCAAAUGGUAAAUUUGUGAAAAUUCCAAAGAGAAUUGUUACCCGCAAAAUUUUAAAUGGCUAAUAUAUCGAAAACAAGGUAUGCUUUAUUACUUCCGUUAUUCAGUAUAUACUAUGUUAUAGUUAUUGACCAAGCAAGUCGGUAUAUAGAAUUUAAUCUGCACAGCUCAGGUGACCCUUAUUAACCCGAACGACGUAGGAGUUCGGGUUAAAGGGUCAUCCUGAGCGCGUGCAGAUUAAAU